rnacentral:rRNA from 1 species
AAAGCCUGGGGAGCAAACAGGAUUAGAUACCCUGGUAGUCCACGCCGUAAACGAUGAGUCCUAGGUGUUAGGGGUUUCGAUACCCUUGGUGCCGAAGUUAACACAUUAAGCACUCCGCCUGGGGAGUACGGUCGCAAGACUGAAACUCAAAGGAAUUGACGGGGACCCGCACAAGCAGUGGAGUAUGUGGUUUAAUUCGAAGCAACGCGAAGAACCUUACCAGGUCUUGACAUCCCUCUGAUCGAUGCAGGGGAUGUAUCUUUCCUUCGGGACAGAGGAGACAGGUGGUGCAUGGUUGUCGUCAGCUCGUGUCGUGAGAUGUUGGGUUAAGUCCCGCAACGAGCGCAACCCUUAUAUUUAGUUGCCAGCACUUCGGGUGGGCACUCUAGAUAGACUGCCGGUGACAAACCGGAGGAAGGUGGGGAUGACGUCAAAUCAUCAUGCCCCUUAUGACCUGGGCUACACACGUACUACAAUGGCCGGUACAACGGGCUGCGAAAUCGCGAGAUGGAGCCAAUCCCAACAAAGCCGGUCUCAGUUCGGAUU